rnacentral:rRNA from 1 species
AUGGCCCCCGCCGUCGCUCACGCCGCCGACCACGCCGCGGAUUUGCUGCACAAGCUGUCGCUGGAUCCCAAGGGCGUGGCCGGCCAGGGCAAAGAGGCGCAGAAGAAGGUCUCGGCAGCACCCAAUGGCAGGAUGAACGGCGUGGUGGCGUCUCCAAACCCACAGGUGGCGUCGGCGGGGCAGUGGCCAGCCAUGGGGCUGCAGGACUACAAGAAUGCCAACAUGUAUGGUGCUGGCGCUGACGCCUACCAGUAUUACUAUGGAGGCUGGGGGGAUUAUUCAGUGUAUGUGGGCCUCGACGGAGCAGAGUCACUUAACCCUGGUGCUUAUGGGGACAUGUAUUGCUAUCCUCAGUAUGGUGUUGCUUCGUCUGGGUAUGACGCGCAGAUGUACGGAUCUCAGCAUUACCAGUACCCGUCCACGUAUCUCCAGCCACAGACUACUGGCACCACUAAGCCAGCAUUCAAGCCUAAUGCUGGCAAAUCAGAUCUUUUACCGCAGAAGGACGCUUCUGCUGCACCUGCUGCUUAUCAGAAGCCUGGAUUGGUGGAUGCUUCCAAAGCCAAUUCAAACAGCACUGAUAGUUCAACAGGUCUGAAGAAAACCACAUACCCGGUGAAACCAAGUGGGCGUUCAGCUAGUUAUCAGAACCAUGGUGAUAAAGCUGCUUAUCCAUCGUAUGGUGGUCAUACUCAGCAGAAACUCUCUGUUGGAAAUUCUACAUCAACUGCUUCUAAUCCUAAAACCAAGGGAUUGCUUGGGCAAAACUCAGCACUGGGGCCACAGACACCUGGGUACAUGAGUUCCAUGUACUCUAGUGUCAUGUACAAUGCAAAUGCAUAUGGACCUGACUAUUGGUAUGGAUCUCACCUCUAUGGCUCUGGUAUGUAUGGUGGGUGGAAUGUACUGUCAGAUGGAAAGUACAAGCCCAGACCAAAAACCUAUGGAUCAUACCGUUUCGGUAAUGAGAACAUAGAUGGCUUGAAUGAGCUGAAGAGAGGGCCAAGAAGCACUGUCAUUAAAAAUGAACAGGGUGCUGGAGAAGCUGCUGUUGCACCUGCAAAAGGACAGGAGCUUCCUACUGGCGAUGCCUCAAAUGCAGUUGUGCAGGAUCAGUACAAUAAGGCUGACUUUGUUGAAACUUACUCAGAUGCCAAGUUCUUCGUUAUAAAAUCAUACAGUGAGGAUGAUGUUCACAAGAGCAUCAAGUACAAUGUUUGGGCAAGCACCCCCAGUGGAAAUAAAAGGCUUGAUGCUGCUUAUCAAGCUGCUAAAGACAAAUCAAGCAAUUCACCUGUAUUUCUGUUGUUCUCUGUCAACACCAGCGGUCAGUUCAUUGGACUUGCCGAGAUGGUUGGUCAGGUUGAUUUUAACAAGACAGUUGAAUACUGGCAGCAAGACAAGUGGACUGGCUGCUUCCCCGUCAAGUGGCACAUUGUAAAGGACAUUCCCAACACUCUAUUGAAGCACAUUAUUCUUGAGUAUAACGAAAACAAACCAGUGACAAACAGCAGAGAUACCCAGGAGGUUAGGCUUGAGCAAGGCCUUCAGGUGCUAAAGAUUUUCAAGGAUCAUGUCUGCAAGACAUCCAUGUUGGAUGACUUUGGCUUUUAUGAUAACCGUGAGAAGAUAAUGCAAGAGAAGAAAUCCAAGCGACAGCAGCCACUGGAGAAGAUCAUGAACAAAAAGCCGCUUUCUGUCAACAACACUGAAAACCAAGAAGUCGAUGGGAAGCAGGGGAUCAUGAACAAAAAGCCGCUUUCUACCAGCAACACUGAAAAUCAAGAUGUUGAUGCAAAGCAGGGGCUGCAGGAACUCAAGGUCCAUGGAGAGAAAAACCCUGUGGUGGAAAACGGUGUGGCGGCAGGGGCUGUAAAUGGUGUUGCCCCAACAGACGCAAGCCCGGCAGCGGUCGCAGUUGGCUGUUGA